GACGAACGCUGGCGGCGUGCUUAACACAUGCGAGUCGAACGGAAAGGCCCUGCUUUUGUGGGGUGCUCGAGUGGCGAACGGGUGAGUAACACGUGAGUAACCUGCCCUUGACUUUGGGAUAACUUCAGGAAACUGGGGCUAAUACCGGAUAGGAGCUCCUGCUGCAUGGUGGGGGUUGGAAAGUUUCGGCGGUGGGGGAUGGACUCGCGGCUUAUCAGCUUGUUGGUGGGGUAGUGGCUUACCAAGGCUUUGACGGGUAGCCGGCCUGAGAGGGUGACCGGCCACAUUGGGACUGAGAUACGGCCCAGACUCCUACGGGAGGCAGCAGUGGGGAAUAUUGCACAAUGGGCGGAAGCCUGAUGCAGCAACGCCGCGUGCGGGAUGACGGCCGUCGGGUUGUAAACCGCUUUCGCCUGGGACGAAGCGUGAGUGACGGUAAUGAAUAAAGAAGCACCGGCUAACUACGUG
rnacentral:rRNA from 1 species